AUUGAACGCUGGCGGCAGGCCUAACACAUGCAAGUCGAGCGAGCGGCGGACGGGUGAGUAAUGUCUGGGAAACUGCCUGAUGGAGGGGGAUAACUACUGGAAACGGUAGCGAAUACCGCAUACCAUCAGAUGUGCCCAGAUGGGAUUAGCUAGUAGGUGGGGGAACGGCUCACCUAGGCGACGAUCCCUAGCUGGUCUGAGAGGAUGACCAGCCACCCUGGAACUGAGCCCCGGUCCAGACGCCUACGGGAGGCAGCAGUGGGGAAUAUUGCACAAUUGGCGCAAGCCUGAUGCAGCCAUGCCGCGUGUGUGAAGAAGGCCUUCGGGUUGUAAAGCACUUUCAGCGGGGAGGCGUUACCCGCAGAAGAAGCACCGGCUAACUCCGUGCCAGCAGCCGCGGUAAUUC
rnacentral:rRNA from 1 species